CGUGGACCGGGGAACACCUAGGCGGCCUAACUCGAGCGCGGUUAUAUAGAGGUAUCCCAACCGGUAACUCCUGUUCGCGGGCCCACGAGGAUAGAAAGGCGUCUGGUGGGUACAGACUGUUUUCUACGGGGCAGUUUGCCGCAGCAAUGCGGGAGUACUGGGUGGAGUUUCCUAAAGCAGAUUGGAGGGAGAUUUCAGACUCUAUCAAAGGUGAGCUCUUGAGCCGAUAGUGACUAAGUCCCGAUAAUCAUUAUUGUAUUUAUCUUUUAUCGUUUAAAUACACCACUGAAGACAU